rnacentral:tRNA from 1 species
UGCAAUUUAGUGUAAAGGCACGUAAAGUUUUGAUCUUUAAGGAAUUGGUGCAAUUCCAUUAUUUGUAG